GCGCCGCUAGCUCAGUUGGUUAGAGCAGCUGACUCUUAAUCAGCGGGUCCGGGGUUCGAGUCCCUG
rnacentral:tRNA from 1 species